UUGCAAGAGAUGUAGUACUGGAUGGAAAUAUUCAGCAAGAACUUGAUGAAAUUUCCAAAUCUUAGUUAGGAAAUAAUACUUUAAUUAACAAGCACUUGAAAAUUUUAAAAUAAAGCAAAAAAGUUAAAGUACCCCAAAGCAGCACACAAAGUAAAAAAAAUGGAUAAAGAACCUAAGCGAAAAACCUAAAACAAUUAUAGAAGAUCAGGAGAAACUGAUAAAAAUCAGAAACUCAAGUUAAGAAACUGAUAACUAAACUAAUAACAAGUAAAAAUCGAGAUCAAUGGAAGAAAAACCAUCUAAAGUUGAACCUAAAACAAAUUAGUUUCGAUCCCAGAAAACACUGAUAAAAUCACAUCAAACAAAUCAAAAGGAGUAAAUUUAACAAAGGGAUAAGAUUGGUUGAGAUUCUCCUGCUCAGAUUUGCUUUAAAUGAGCAGAUCUGAUCAGGAGAUUGCUCAAACAACUAGGAUUUCAGAUUUUAAAGAGUUUUUGGAGAGAGCGUGUUUUUGGAGCGAGAGUGUUUUUCUGAAGAGCGAGUUCUCACACCUUGUCAAGCAUCUUCUAGGAUCAUGUGGGAAAAAAACGGAAUCCAAGCGAGAACUAUAAGAAUUACGCUGAAUAUUUACGGUUUAAAAGUUGGGAUUUGAGUUUUCUCAAAAGAAGAUCAUUUUCCACUUUUGCGCAGCAUCAACAGUAACGGCCUCUGCAACACAUAGUACUUCAACAUCAACUCCAUCAGACACUACAACAACACCAGUAACAAACACAUCAUUUCAGAUUCCGACGAACACAACGCAACAGCAACCAGAAACACACAGACACAUUUUUGAUUCAGAUGGAUUCAAACUGAUUCAUACAGUUCCAGUAAUCAGAUCCAUUUUUAGCUUAGAAAAAAACUAACAGGGCCAUUUAAAAUAGUUUGGUUACCUGGUUCUUGGUUUAUCGCAAUGGUAGAGUUGGAUUGGAUUGGAAUGGUAGAAUUGAAAAAUGUGUACAAUAAAAAACUAUGGUGUUUAUAUAAUAAUUGUGAAUCAGGAUGUCUGUUCAACUGCUUGUGUUAUGGUCUUAAGCCUUGUUAUUUGUUGAAAAGACUUUCCUUGUAAUGAUGCCAAUUUUGACUCGGUGCUUUAAUAUAAUUAGGAUUU